AUUGAACGCUGGCGGCAUGCUUUACACAUGCAAGUCGAACGGUAACAGGUUAAGCUGACGAGUGGCGAACGGGUGAGUAAUGCAUCGGAACGUGCCCGAUCGUGGGGGAUAACGCAGCGAAAGCUGCGCUAAUACCGCAUACGACCUGAGGAUGAAAGCGGGGGACCGUAAGGCCUCGCGCGAUCGGAGCGGCCGAUGUCAGAUUAGGUAGGUGGUGGGGUAAAGGCUCACCAAGCCAACGAUCUGUAGCUGGUCUAUGAGGACGACGAGCCACACUGGGACGGAGAACCGGCACAGACGCCUACGGGAGGAAGCAGUGGGGAAUUUUGGAGGAGGGGCGAAAGCGUGAUCCAGCAAUGCCGCGUGCAGGAAGAAGGCCUUAGGGUUGUAAACUGCUUUUGUACGGAGCGAAAAGGCUCUCUCUAAUACAGGGGGCUCAUGACGGUACCGUAAGAAUAAGCACCGGCUAACUACGUGCCAGCCGCCGCCGUAA
rnacentral:rRNA from 1 species